rnacentral:rRNA from 1 species
UGGGGAAUAUUGGACAAUGGGCGAAAGCCUGAUCCAGCCAUGCCGCGUGUGUGAAGAAGGUCUUCGGAUUGUAAAGCACUUUAAGUUGGGAGGAAGGGCAGUAAGCGAAUACCUUGCUGUUUUGACGUUACCGACAGAAUAAGCACCGGCUAACUCUGUGCCAGCAGCCGCGGUAAUACAGAGGGUGCAAGCGUUAAUCGGAAUUACUGGGCGUAAAGCGCGCGUAGGUGGUUCGUUAAGUUGAAUGUGAAAGCCCCGGGCUCAACCUCGGAACUGCAUCCAAAACUGGCGAGCUAUACUAGGUCAGCGGGUGGUGGAAUUUCCUGUGUAGCGGUGAAAUGCGUAGAUAUAGGAAGGAACACCAGUGGCGAAGGCGACCACCUGGGCUCAUACUGACACUGAGGUGCGAAAGCGUGGGGAGCAAACAGG